GGAGAGGUGCGAGAGUGGCUGAAUCGGCACGAUUGGAAAUCGUGUGUGCACCCUGUGUACCGUGGGUUCGAAUCCCACCCUCUCCG
rnacentral:tRNA from 1 species